rnacentral:rRNA from 1 species
CCUACGGGGGGCAGCAGUGGGGGAUAUUGCACAAUGGGGGAAACCCUGAUGCAGCGACGCCGCGUGUGGGAAGACGGUCUUCUGGAUUGUAAACCACUGUCCCCAGGGACGAAAAUGACGGUACCUGGGGAGGAAGCUCCGGCUAACUACGUGCCAGCAGCCGCGGUAAUACGUAGGGAGCAAGCGUUGUCCGGAAUUACUGGGUGUAAAGGGAGCGUAGGCGGGGAUGCAAGUUGGGUGUCAAAACUACCGGCUCAACCGAUAGUCGCACUCAAAACUGCAACUCUUGAGUGAAGUAGAGGCAGGCGGAAUGCCUAGUGUAGCGGUGAAAUGCGUAGAUAUUAGGAGGAACACCAGUGGCGAAGGCGGCCUGCUGGGCUUUUACUGACGCUGAGGCUCGAAAGUGUGGGGAGCAAACAGGAUUAGAUACCCUUGUAGUC